UCAACAUUCUCAAAUUGAUUUUGAUGGCUCCAGCUGCUGCUAAUGAUCUCUCUGAACAAAAGAAAGGGCAAUAGUACUUUAAUAACAUAGAAAGUUUAGAAGCAGAUUGGUUGCAGCACUCUUGUGGUCUCAUCACAAGGAGUGGACUCAUCAGGAGCCAGUAAAAGUGGCUAGACUUUCAACAAAGAGAAAGGAAUAAGUCGCAAUAAGCAACUUACAGAAGAACUAAUGAGUGAAAGUUUUGAUGAAAGAUGUGUCAGUCUUCUGAAAGCACAAGGCAGACAAUUGGAGAGCCAGAUACUCAUGAAAAAUCAACUUUCAGACUGA